rnacentral:lncRNA from 1 species
GUGGCUGAACUUUAAAUUAAAAAAAAGUUUGACAGCCAUUUGACAGCCGCUCUAGAAGGGAAAUCGUAAAUUUAGAAACUAGAUGGAUGGUUUUAUUGUUUUAUUUAACCUGUGAUCUGAAUUCAUAUUAAUAUUUCAAUAGGAAUAGCGUGUGUGGCACAUUCAUAAAUAAGAUCGUGUGGCGGGCGAUUUUAUUUUAACCUCGGCGACCGGCGACCGGCGGCCACAAUACAAUUGAUACAAUCCGCGCGUUGUGAGCCUUUCUUAACUUUCCAACAUUGACACUAUAAUAUAAUCCGCAUCUAUGAUCGUUGAAGACAAACCAGAUUCUGACAAUUCCAUCUUCAGCUUGGGACCGAGCCAGCAGAGGGAGCAGCAAACUGUAACAAAUGAAAACUAUAAACUACCAUGAUUUUGAGCAAAUGUAAAUAAAUAUUUUUAAUAAGAGGAAA